GAAAAGCAAAUCCAUUUCAGAGGGGUAGCUUCACUCUAACAGGGAUCCGAAUUCCAAAGCUAAGAACCUGGCAUCUUUGGUCUGCAGGCAGAGCUCCUGCACUUUGAUGUGGUGAUGGCAGCGCUCCAGGAUCAAAUCUCACCACAUCCCACAGCCUGCAGAAAGAAGUUCCCUAGAGACUGUGUCAAUGGAGGGACAGUAAGGCUGUCUCACACACACACACACACACACACACACACACAAACACACACACCGAUUUUGCCUCAUCCUUGAUUCUGAGGCCAUUUUGUUUACUGGAGGUAAAUCUCUAAAAAGCACAAGCUUCGAAAUAAUUUCUGAUGGCAGCCAAAUGAUCCCGUUUUAGCCUGACUUGCUGACCUGGCUCUGCUCUCCAGGUAUGAAGCCCAUCUCCACUUGGACUGAAGCCCUGCCCCGGAGCUUCAACCCGGAAGAACCAACUUGUUCUCCAUGUAAAACAAGGCCAGCUGACUUCUCCUGGGCUCAGUGACCCAUGUAAGAAAAGUGCAAGUUAGAAACAGGGAAUCCAACUGUUGCUCUCACCGACAGCUUACAGACAAGACGGCAGUGCCCUCAGACAGCAUUUCAAAUACAGUUUAUUAGUGUGUGAUAUGGAAAGGGUAUUUUUAUUGCAUGAUAUAAUGCAAUGGGACCUUGGGCGCUCUGUGGAAAGACCUCACACUCAGAAGUGUAAUGAACCCAUAGUCCCAAAAACAUUAUACUGUACAUUAACCUAUCAUUAAUGGCACAUUAGGGCUAGGGGCAUUGCACGCUUGCUGGUCAGGGCCCCAUCAGGACAGUGUUGAGAAAACCACACAGUCUUCCCAGGCUUAAAACAAAUAGAGAAAAUAAAUAUUCCUGAUGUCUACAGGCAGCUUUAAAGCAAGUUCAGCCCCUGCUCUGCCUUGCAAUUUCAAAGGCUGCUUUUUGACAAAAGGAAGUUAGACACUGAACAAAGAGGCAGAGGACUGUGUGGCUGUGUACCCCAGCUAGCGGCUACGCAGCCUCAGUGCUGCUCAGCAAGGUGUAUGAAAACUGCCUAAAAGGGACACAGACUUACAGGGGUGGGAAGGUGCCUUCGCAGCUGUGUAUCCAUUUCUCAUUUCUCAGUCUGGGAUGCCAAGGAAUUCAGUAAGUGCGAAAGAAAGUAACAGAGCCCAGCAAAGAAGUGGCAAACGAUGUAAAACAAACAAACAAACAAACAAUAACAAAAAUCUAGUCGAACACUCAAACAAACAAACAAGCAAAAAGCCAACUCAUUUAUUCUCAUACUUAAUAAAAGAAAUGCCAAUUAAACAACAAACAUAUUUACCACUGAUCAGAUAGCAAAGAUUAAAGGCUGAUAAUUUAUAUCAAAUGAGAUAGAAAAACUGGCUUCACACAUCCAGGCUUAAAAAUGUACAUAAAGUCAUUGUCUUAAAAAAUUAAAUGUGUGUGUGUAUACAAGCAUGUAUAUAUGAAUAUGUGUAUGUGCCAUGGCAUGGGUAUUGAGCUCAGAGGACACCCUGCUGGGGCUGGUUCUCUUUUUAUACCACGUGGGUACCGGGAACUGAACUCAGGUUGUCUGGCCUGACAACAGUCACUUGUACCCACUGAGUCACCUCACCAGUCAUGGUCUUAAUAGCAAAAAACACAGAAAUAGCUGACAUGUUCUGAGACAGAGUUCUGGUUAACUAAACAUAGCAUAUCCACCUUAUGGAAUGCUGAGUGUCCAUGAAGCCGGAGGAGGAGGAGACUGGCUUCUCGGUGUACUAGGUGAGGGGUUAGCCACAACUUACCAGACAGCUUGGAAAUCGCACCUGGGAACCUAGAGCUUUCUCUUUCUGCCUGACCGUGACAAAGCUUUCACAAGACAUCAAAGGUGAGCUGAUCUCAAGGAUUCUUUACACAGCUCCUUCUGGGUGACCCUCCUAUUGACUGUCCUUCCACAGAGACCCAACAUUUAUACCACAGAGGAAUUCUUCCUGACGCACGAAGCUUCCUCGGCACUUCCUGGAUCACUGAGCUCUCUGACUUUGCCUGAAGUGCAAUCAGAUUUCUUUCUGGAAACACCUACCUCCUUAACAUGAACAAGGAGAAGACCUAGGAACCCAGGACUACACACUGUAUAGAGUGUUUAGGGUGCCCAGUACAACCUUAGGCAGGACAGUGUUGCUGGAGCCCCUGCUAUGCUAUGGCCUUAAGUGGUCUCAUCCCUCCAUCUUCUCAUCUUCCUGAUAUCUUUGGGCAAGAGACUUGGCGGCAACAAUCUGAGAUGCUGGGUUUUGUUUGUCCUAGGGUCUGCCAGCACACGCGGUAAUUAAAAUGUUGAUUAGUAAACAGUUGCACCAUAUGACAGCCAGUGCGGCUAAAGCCUACAGUUAGGUCAAUAAGUGAUUUAGACUUGCCAUUUAAAAAAAAUCUCAUUUAAAUUUUGCAUACAUUAAUCACUACCAUACUUCAAGGUUCUGAUAUCCACCUGACUACAAUAUUAAAAUAAAACUUGCUGCCCC
rnacentral:lncRNA from 1 species